UAGCAGAGGUCUCAAGCGUUGUUCGGAUUCAUUGGGCGUAAAGGGUGCGUAGGUGGCGCGGUAAGUCGGGUGUGAAAUCUCGGAGCUUAACUCCGAAAUUGCAUUCGAUACUGCCGUGCUCGAGGACUGGAGAGGAGACUGGAAUUCAUGGUGUAGCAGUGAAAAUGCGUAGAGAUCAUGAGGAAGACCAGUGGCGAAGGCGGGUCUCUGGACAGUUCCUGACACUGAGGCACGAAGGCCAGGGGAGCAAAACGGG
rnacentral:rRNA from 1 species